rnacentral:rRNA from 1 species
UACGAAGGGUGCAAGCGUUACUCGGAAUUACUGGGCGUAAAGCGCACGUAGGCGGCGCGUUAAGUCGGAUGUGAAAGCCCCGGGCUCAACCCGGGAAGUGCAUUCGAAACUGGCGCGCUUGAAUAUGGAAGAGGGUCGCGGAAUUCCCGGUGUAGAGGUGAAAUUCGUAGAUAUCGGGAGGAACACCAGUGGCGAAGGCGGCGACCUGGGCCAAUAUUGACGCUGAGGUGCGAAAGCGUGGGGAUCAAACAGG